rnacentral:rRNA from 1 species
AAUCGCGGAUCAGCAUGCCGCGGUGAAUACGUUCCCGGGCCUUGUACACACCGCCCGUCACACCAUGAGAGCCGGUAACACCCGAAGUCAGUAGUCUAACCGCAAGGGGGACGCUGCCGAAGGUGGGGCUGGUGAUUGGGGUGAAGUCGUAACAAGGUACC